rnacentral:rRNA from 1 species
UACGGGGGGGGGCAAGCGUUGUUCGGAAUUACUGGGCGUAAAGGGCUCGUAGGCGGCCAACUAAGUCGGACGUGAAAUCCCCAGGCUCAACCUGGGAACUGCGUCCGAUACUGGAUGGCUUGAAUUCGGGAGAGGGAUGCAGAAUUCCAGGUGUAGCGGUGAAAUGCGUAGAUAUCUGGAGGAAUACCGGUGGCGAAGGCGGAUCUCUGGGCCAUUACUGACGCUGAGGAGCGAAAGCGUGGGGAGCGAACGGG